GACGAACGCUGGCGGCGUGCUUAACACAUGCAAGUCGAACGGAAAGGCCCUGCUUUUGUGGGGUGCUCGAGUGGCGAACGGGUGAGUAACACGUGAGUAACCUGCCCUUGACUUUGGGAUAACUUCAGGAAACUGGGGCUAAUACCGGAUAGGAGCUCCUGCUGCAUGGUGGGGGUUGGAAAGUUUCGGCGGUUGGGGAUGGACUCGCGGCUUAUCAGCUUGUUGGUGGGGUAGUGGCUUACCAAGGCUUUGACGGGUAGCCGGCCUGAGAGGGUGACCGGCCACAUUGGGACUGAGAUACGGCCCAGACUCCUACGGGAGGCAGCAGUGGGGAAUAUUGCACAAUGGGCGGAAGCCUGAUGCAGCAACGCCGCGUGCGGGAUGAAGGCCUUCGGGUUGUAAACCGCUUUCGCAUGUGACGAAGCGUGAGUGACGGUAAUGGGUAAAGAAGCACCGGCUAACUACGUG
rnacentral:rRNA from 1 species